GUGACUGUAUAUGGAUUAUAUUGUUGAAACCAUAUUUACCAGGUUGUUAUCAGUCUCAGGAUGGCAGACUUUCGUCUCCUGGAAAACAUCUUCUCCCACCUACUCUUUCUAGGCCUUUUAACACUGUGUUUGAGUAUCUCUCAGCAUUCAUUCAACAAAGGUCAAAGGUUAUACAAUGAGCCAGAGAGCACCCCACUCUCCCAGACAGACAGUGGGCAGGGUUCCCCUGCUGGCAAUCCGUCAGACCCUCGGACCCUUCCAGAAGGGGGAACUCCUCCAGUAACAAAAUCUCUUCACAUCGACCUGAAGACUAGCUCUGCCUCAAAAGAGGGUCCGGCUCAAGUAGACGGUUCCACUUCUGAAACUUCCAGAGAACGUUCCCCACGGUCUGUUGGUUCC
ensembl:lncRNA